UAUCACUACACAUAUGCAGAGCCUAGGAAAAGAGAUUUUUCUGCAUUCAUGCAAUGUUAUGAGGUUUAGCGAUGUCAUCUGUAGUAACCAUGUCUUGGCUGAGAUGAGAAGUGAGAAUUCCGAUCAUGUCUGUGACAACUGCCUGCUGGUGGCAGCUGCAGGAGCAGAGGAUUUCAGCCCUCCCAUGUUCAGUGCUUGGGACGCAUGUGGCAGAGUGGAGCUGGCAAGAGGAGAUUCCCUUUUCUGUGGCAUGAAUUACAGGUUGGUCUUCACCCAUUCUGUAUCCUGUGCAUGGAGGUAGGUGUUUGCGGUCCCCAGUACUGAACAUACCUCAGCUGUUCUCUGGGUCGGUGAGGUUUUUCUGGUAGAGAUUACAGCAGGAUCUUUCAGUGUGAUAAUUCAGGUAUAAUAGCUUCUCCUCCCCUGAUGAGGCUGACUUGUGAAAUCUAUUAAACUAUGUGGUUCUGGCUUUAUUCCUGGACUCCUCAAGAUAAAGGCUUUUAAGUGUUUUUUUUUUUUUCUUUUUUUUUUUUUUCCCCGAAGUAAAUCUUUAUUUGUUAUCAAAAGUUUAGACUCGCCAAUUAUCAGCAUUUUGAACCUGAAGAUAGUUCUGACUGGAAAACAUCCAUAAGUUGAUCAUCUAAUGCUUGUGGUUUAAGUGGAAAAGCCAAGCACAGUACUUUAUCCAGUCCCCACAAUUUCCUCCAUCUGAAACUCUGAACUAGCUUAGAAUCAAGGGGGUAAAAUACAGCAGAGGAUCUUCUGACUUAAGAGAUCAGAAGGAUUUUCUCAGGGUAUGAGAGCUUCCAGCACCACUUCAGGAUUUGAUUCCUCAAUACCCUGUUCCUAUCUCUGCUUAAUACAAAGACUUUCCAAGUUAUUAAAUUGUGCACUUCAGUCUCCCCUUGUCCUCCUCCCCGAGAGCUCUGCAGAUGCACUGUCACUGGACACUGGCUCCAGGUGAUUACUUUCAAUGAGUUUGCCCAUGCCAAUGCCAGCCUGUCCCAUCCAAUCUCCAGCCCAUCCCAGCUGCACACAUGGUACAGGCUCCUGCACCAUUACAAGAGUGUUCCUCUAAUUCCCAGAACCCACUCUCUGGGAUGGACAGGUGAAAAUGAUGUGGAAAAUUGGAAAAUGCUGUUUUUACAAUGCUGCUGCUGUCUAUUUUCCAGUAAGACUUCUUCAGGAGUUAAAGAAAAAAAAAAGGAAGAAGAAUGGGAAAUAACCAUCAACUAGGUUAUGCGUAACAAAUAUGGUUAGGGGUUUGGUGCAAAUGAAAAUGAGGAGCCUCUUGGGAAAAGUACAGAUUUUGUUUUGAUUUUAUACUGAAGCCCUCAUAGUCAGUGGAAAUGUGCUUGGAUUUGUACAGGCUUCUGCUAAAUUACUUUGAAAGAAAAUAUCAUUUCCAAGCCAAAUUAUCUGCUGGGAGGAAUAAUUUUCCUGAUUUUGAAUGGAUUUUUUCCAGGAGAAAAUCUGGCCAAUCUUACUUAACCAAAUCACAACUUGGACCAUAGGCCUGGAAGCAGGAUUCAUUUGGAUGUUUUAACCUCUAGUGAAUAGCAAAUAGAGAAUGCAGUGCAAAAUAAAAUGAAACAAUAUGUGUAAUGAGCA
rnacentral:lncRNA from 1 species